ensembl:lncRNA
CCUGCCUGUUUUCCAUCUGUGUUGCAUUUUACUCUUUGGGGUGCUCGUUUUCCUUGGGAGAAGCCGGUGCCGGUGUCACCCACCCAGGCACACACCGCGAUGCCGCUCCCAGCCCUCGCCGGAGAUGCCGGCCGUGCCUGAGGGCGCUGCUGCUCGCCGGGACCGAGAGAUGGUAACGCCGCGGCGGGGAGCAGCUCCACAGCGCGCUGCCCUGCCCGGAGCCGCCGCCUGAGCAGCGCUGUGCCCCAGCCGGGCUCCCGCAGCCCCGCUGCCUCUCCGGGGAGCUGCGCGCCCGCUCCGGGGCUCCUCGGGGACCCGCCGGCUCCCUGCCGCUUCCCUGCCGCUUCCCUGCCGCUUCACCGCCGCUUCCCGGCCGCUUCCCUGCGCCAUCCCCGGGGCAGGCGGCCCCAGGUCCCGCACACGUGCCCGCUCGCCAAGUGCCAAGAUCACAGUCAGAAGGGAGUCACCCAUGAAGAUUGGUUCAUGCAGCUAAGCUGACUUCCAUGGAUAAAGUUCAAAACAGAAAAGGUCAGUUUUACAUAUGUAAUUUUGUUUAUGUUUAGUUUUCUGACUUAUGUUUAGUUUU